AAAGUUUUGUCCCAUUACUUGAUCUCUGAAUGUUUGUUUUUUGCAAUUUUUGGCGUAUGCGAUCUCGAAGUAUAUACAAACAUGUUUGACGGUCGGAUCAUUGAAACUAGUUUCGUAGAAUGCGUGUAUCUCAUCAAAACAAUAGAUUCACUAACACUUAAAAGUUUAUUCAUACUUUCAUUAAGUAUAACAUAAGAUUUUUUUGUAUCCACUAGUGUAAAUAUUUUAAAUUGAAGAUCGAAUUCAAUCAUUGUAUUCAUAUAGGGUCAAGGAGUGUAGCUACAAAAAAUCAUCAAAAUC
rnacentral:lncRNA from 1 species